rnacentral:rRNA from 1 species
UAUUAUUAUAUAUUUAAAUUUUUAUGUCUGGGUAGUAAGAGAAGGGCUUGAAACUCAAAGAAUUUGGCGGUGUUUUAGUCUAUUCAGAGGAAUCUGUCUUGUAAUUGAUAAUACACGAUUUUUGGUACUUGAUUUUGUUGUCAGCUUAUAUACCGCCGUCAGUAAGAUUAUCUUUGUAGGGAAUUAAAUUUCGUUAUAUAUAAUUUUAUUAUAUGUCAGGUCAAGGUGUAGUUAAUAAUUAAGUGUUGAUGGAUUACAAUAAAAUUAUUUAUAUGGAUGAUAUUUAUAUAUAAUUAUUUGAAGGUGGAUUUGAUUGUAAAUUAAUCAAAAUUGGUUGUUUGAUUAUAGCUCUAGAAUGUGUACAUAUCGCCCGUCGCUCUCGUUUUAAGGUGAG